rnacentral:misc_RNA from 1 species
GAAAACUAGUCAAGGAAAAGCAAUUAAAUUUCAUAAAACAAAAUUAGCUUUCUAAUGUCAAAUUCAUCUGCCAAGUCACAUUCCUAAACCAAUUCAGAGUUCAUCGUGAAAGCGACUACCGAAAGCAUUGCUUUGCAGCUCAAAAACGCAUAAUUUGUUAUUCACAAACUCUGGCUAAAACUACAAAAAUGCAUUUGACUUCUAUAGAAAUAUUUAAUUAACAGAUCAGGUUGGCUACUG